AUUGAACGCUGGCGGCAGGCCUAACACAUGCAAGUCGAACGAGUGGCGGAUGGGUGAGUAAUGCCUGGGAAACUGCCUGAUGGCGGGGGUUAAAUACUGGAAACGGACGCUAAUAACGCAUACCAUCGGAUGUGCCCAGAUGGGAUUAGCUAGUAGGUGGGGUAACGGCGCACCUAGGCGACGAUCCCGAGCUGGUCUGAGAGGAUGACCAGCCACACUGGAACUUAGACACUGUCCAGCCUCCUACGGUAGGCAGCAGUGGGGAAUAUUGCGCCUGUGGCGCGAGCCUGAUGCAGCCAUGCCGCGUGUAUGCAGAAGGCCUUCGGGUUGUGAAGUACUAUCAUCGGUGAGGCGUUACCCGCAGAAGAAGCGCCGGCUAACUCCGUGCCAGCAGCCGCGGUAAUAC
rnacentral:rRNA from 1 species